CCUACGGGGAGCAGCAGUGAGGAAUAUUGGUCAAUGGCCGUAAGGCUGAACCAGCCAAGUCGCGUGAAGGAAGAAGGAUCUAUGGUUUGUAAACUUCUUUUAUAGGGGACUAAAGGUAUCCACGUGUGGAUAUUUGAAUGUACCCUAUGAAUAAGCAUCGGCUAACUCCGUGCCAGCAGCCGCGGUAAUACGGAGGAUGCGAGCGUUAUCCGGAUUUAUUGGGUUUAAAGGGUGCGUAGGUUGUUUUUUAAGUCAGCGGGGAAAGUUUGUGGCUCAACCAUAAAAUUGCCGUUGAAACUGGAAGACUUGAGUGUGUUUGAGGUAGGCGGAAUGCGUGGUGUAGCGGUGAAAUGCAUAGAUAUCACGCAGAACUCCGAUUGCGAAGGCAGCUUACUAAGCCAUAACUGACACUGAAGCACGAAAGCGUGGGGAUCAAACAGGAUUAGAUACCCGAGUAGUC
rnacentral:rRNA from 1 species